ACUCUCUUUGUUUUUCUAUUAAUUCUCUUUGUUUUUCUAUUAAUUCGCUUCUUUUAAAACAUAAAUUUUUUUUUAUUGUAACUCUCCUGACUCUUUUCCUUCCUCAUCCUUUUUUAUCUUUUCAUUCCCUUUCUCAUCCUUUUAUUACUUAUUCUUUCCUCAUCAUAUCCAAGCAGACACUAAGAUGCUAUUUAUUCAAUAAA
rnacentral:misc_RNA from 1 species